UUCCCUGCCUGAUAGUAACACUUCUCUGAUAUCAUCAGUUGGCCACUGAUUUCCCCAUGGCCCAUAAAGUGUGUCCUUGGGUGGACAAAGGACCAGUGUAACAAGAAGCCUGAUGCUCUAAAGGGAGAGCAAGAUCUCGUCAUAGAGGGAGCAGCCCUGGAGAUGGACACAGUGCUGUGCCGGCUCAGCCCCAGGUCAGGCGGAGCUGCGAGCCCAGACCCGGGACCUGCUCGAUUUGCCAUAAAGGACGUCAGUGGGGACUUGUGUAAGGCAGAGCAGGACAAACGUGUCUCUCUCUCUCUCUGAUGUCGUGGGGUUUGAAAGGGAUGCGGAGGAGUCACAAUGACUCCAGGACAGGGCUCCACCCCUUCCCCACCACCCCUCCCACUCCCAUGGGGUGGGUCCCCAGGACCCUGGUGACCUCCCUUCCAGCCCCAGACCUCCUCCCCUCCCCUCUGCUCUUAGGGACCCCUUCUGCUCACUCUUCAGCCUCAGCCCAGAUGUCACCUCCUUUUGGAAGCCUGCCUGAAGCUGGAGUGGACCAGGGGUCCCUCUCCUGGGAUCACCUGUAACCCCCUGGGCUUCUCUGUUUCCAGCCCUCGCCCCCUCCGGCCUGUCUUGUUCACUGCCACAUCCUCACCCUGGCAGGGUCCAGCACGUAGUAGGGCCAUAACCCAGACUACCACAUCCCCACUCCCAGGUCAGGCAUCCGCAAGGGUCUCGCGAUGGGCAUUUGGUCCUCCCUUCUUCCUUCCUUCACAAGUGUUCCUUGAGCACCUACUGUGUGCAGAGCCUCCCUCCCUGGAGCGCUCCCUGGGACGAGGAAGGCAGACAGACCGCAAGACAAAGGAGUGGAAUGAAGAGUGCCAAGGUCAGGUUCCGGAGGAGGCAGGACCCACACUCUGAACCACAGGCCUGUCAACUGGGCGAGUGCUGCUGCUACUCAUGUGCUGGGUCAGGAUAAAGCCACCACGACGUCCAGCAUCCUGGCCUAAGUCAAUAGGACGUGUCACGUUCCUCAGCAAACAACCUGUUAUCCAAGUCAGUUAAUGACAGUUGGCUCACCUUCUUAUUAUCUGGACUCUCUUUUCCCACGGCGAUGCUUUGAAUCACUCUGAAUUCACAGCAGGUGUUUGUACCAACUCCUUGGACACUGGGGACAUCUCUCACAUGCCGUUGGCACACAAAGAUGCCCAGCGUCCUAGAAUCGAAGUGUGUGCCCAAAUGUCGUCUCUUCCUGUGGCCUAACCUGGGGUCCUGGAGGCCACCCCUUCUGUCCUCUAUCUGCUUCCCCUUCUUCAUCUGGAAGUGAACCUGGGUUUUUGUUU